UAUAGAGGUCCCGAGCGUUGUUCGGAUUCACUGGGCGUAAAGGGUGCGCAGGUGGGUUGGCAAGUUUGAUGUGAAAGCCCCGGGCUUAACCCGGGAAUGGCAUUGAAUACUGCUGAUCUGGAGGAUCGGAGGGGGGACUGGAAUUCUUGGUGUAGCAGUGAAAUGCGUAGAUAUCAAGAGGAACACCAGUGGCGAAGGCGAGUCCCUGGACGAUACCUGACACUGAGGCACGAAAGCCGGGGGAGCAAACAGG
rnacentral:rRNA from 1 species